rnacentral:tRNA from 1 species
GCCCCUGUAAUUCAAUGGUAGAAUAACUGUUUUGUAAUCAGUAAGUUGAGGGUUCAAUUCCUUUCAGGGGCUCA